GAGAGAGAGAGAGAGAGAGAGAGAGAGAGAGAGAGAGAGAGAGAGAGAGAGAGAGAGAGAGAGAGAGAGAGAGAGAGAGAGAGAGAGAGAGAGAGUCCAUUAAUUUCAGCAGACGUGAUUUUUGUGACCUGCCCAUUAAUU